CAGCAAAAAAGUAAUAUUAUUUCAAUUUAAUAUUAUUUCAAUUUAAAAUAACUUUUCUGUUAUGUAAUUUAUUUCUGCUAUACAAAGCUGAAAUUUUAUUACUCCAGUCUUCAGUCACAUGAUCCUUCAGAAAUCAUUCUAAUAUGCUGAUUUGCUGCUUACAAAAUAUUUAUUAUUAUUAAAAGUGCUGAAAACAGUUAUGCUGUUUAAUAUUUUGUGCAUACUGUUGAAAAUUUCUGUCACUUUUAAUCAAUUUAUUGCAUCCUUGCUGAAUAAAAGUUUUAAUUUCUUUCAAAAUUCCUUACUGAUCCCAAACAUUUGAACUGUAGUGUACAAAAAAUAUCCUUCUUAAGGAACUUGCUUCAUUAUCACUGGCUUUAGGAAAUUCACUAAAAUGAGUCAGGCUUUCCAGUGCUUUUUAAGAGAGAGAGAUUCAAGGACAGCAUGUGAUAUUUUGUUAAUUUGCACUGUUGUAAAGCAGUGGCAUCAGUUUUUAAAAAACGUAGCUUGUUACUGCAAAAGCAUUGAAAAUAGUUACUGUCACCCUACUGAAAAAUGUUCAUAGUAUCAUUACUUUUAACUUGUAAUCAAUACUAAAAAAAAAAACUAAAGCUGCAUCCCUAGUAAUAAGUACAGUGUAGUUUUUUAUUGGGUUACUGGUUUUGUUGCCAUUUUGCACAUUACACAGGUCUGCAGUGUCUUUAAAUAAAUCUGAAGUCUUGCAAAUGCGAUGUAGGUAUUAUAAACUGCAAGUAGAGAUUUUUUACUUAGUGUUACUGAAGCCCCUACAUGUAAAGUCAAACAAUAUUGUGUUGUAUUUUAAAAUUUACCUGUAUAUUCCAUCUGUGUCACUUUGAAUCACCAUGAAAAUUUUGAGAAGUGGUUUCCUAUUCAGCAUGACAGCAUGCUGACAUGAAACUUUUUUACUGUAUGAAAUUUGAUUUAGUUGAAAUUAUAUAAUCUAGUCUUAUCAAGCUGUAACAGAGUGAAUUUAAGAUAUUUUUAGAACUAAUACACUGAAGACUAAAGUAAUAUUUUUUUUUACGCCUGUUUGCCGUUGACUGAAAAUGUGGCAUUCAACACUAUGCAAAAAGGGAGUAAAAAUGUAAAUGGCAGGGCCCCUAAAGGACCCCAGCAUUUAGUAUUUUGCACUGGAAAAAGUAGCAAUAGUCUUUGCAUUCAGCUUCUUUCACGGAUGCCUUUAUUCAUGAAUCUGUGUGUGUGUGUGUGUGUGUGUGUGUGUGUGUGUGUGUGUGUGUGUGUGUGUGUGUGUGUGUUUUCCUCUAAAUGCAUCUUUUGUACAUUUGAACAUGCACUGAAAGAGUUUUGCUGAUGUCACACAGCCUUGUUGUAAGAUCUGGAGGAUGUGCAUUUUUAAUGACUGAUUGCCAAAAUGUAGAGGAUGGCUAAAUGUUUAUAUACAGUAUAUGACUUGCUAAUAAGAAAUGAAACAAUAACUUUACAGAAUAAUUUUCUCUUUUUUUUAUCUUUGAAAAUCAAAAAAUUAAAACCAGCCAAUUAUUUGCUAGUGCCAUUAUUUGCUAUUAUUGUCUGAUUAAUCAUCCUCCCAGUAUUUCAGUUUGUCACUAGUUAGGUCAUUGACAUUGGCUAAGGAUUGCUUAUGAAGAUCAAAAAGACAACCGCACCUUUACUGUUAAAUAUAAAGGCUGAUUUUAUUUAUUUAUUUUUUCACAAGGUUACUGAUUUUGAUAAAUUACUGUCAUUUUUGAUCUAAAGGCACUGUCAUCUUGAAAAUGACCAACAAAUGAACACAGUUUGACAACACAAUUUGUAAUUGAAAUAUGAAAAAAGUAAUGAUUGAACUGUUUUGUAAACAAUUUUCUGGCAAACUACUUUCAUUAUUUUAAUAAAAUGGCAUAACUGGGAAAUAAA
ensembl:lncRNA